rnacentral:rRNA from 1 species
UAAAGGUUAAAAAUGACGCUCGAACAUGCAUCCUCGCCAGAAUACGCGCGGAAACAAUGUACGUACAAAGAAUUGCAGAAUUCAGUGAAUCAUCGAAUCCACAUACGUACAUCGCUUCCGCCAGUAUUCUGGCGGGCAUGCCUGUCCGAGCGUCAUUU